GCCUGAGAUUAGCUCAGCUGGUUAGAGCAUGGUGCUAAUAAUGCCAAGGUCCUGGGGUUCAUCCCCAUACAGGCC